rnacentral:rRNA from 1 species
UACGGGGGGGGCAAGCGUUGUUCGGAAUCACUGGGCUUAAAGCGCGUGUAGGUGGACUUUUAAGUGCUUUGUGAAAUCCCACGGCUCAACCGUGGAACUGCUGGGCAUACUGGAAGUCUUGGGCUAUCUAGGGGCAACCGGAACAAGCGGUGGAGCGGUGAAAUGCGUAGAUAUCGCUUGGAACGCCAAAGGUGAAGACAGGUUGCUGGAGAUAUGCCGACACUGAGACGCGAAAGCCAGGGGAGCAAACGGG